CAUGACGUCCGAUUGCAGCUGUGAGCUGGAACCUGUCACCCUUAUCUGCCACAGACUCUACCUUACCACCCCCGAGAGACUGUCAGGAAGUUGGUGCCACUGACCUCGGACGGAACAAAGUGUCCUCUCUGUCCACAGGAGUGGGCGAGGAAGCGCUGUGAUCCAAAACCCAGAAACUGGACAUAACUGGUGUGUUUAGGAUGGCGUGCAGGCACGAGCAUCCGCUGAAGUUCCUGAACCUGAAGAGAGGAGAGAAUCAUUUCCUGUUUGCAACUGCUGUGUUCCUGCUGGGGGACCUGAAAGCAAUGCAGGGACCAGACAUCACAACGUCUCUUCACUAUGACAUUGCAUGCCAGCUGAAGCCUCAUUUACAGGUAAAAUUGAUCAAAUCAAUCUAUGUUAGCUAUUAUAAUGCAUUUAAUAUUUAACCACUAUGCUAUAGUGAGUUUCCUGAGUCGCUUGAUACCAUUAUCAAUGGCUUGAAACAGAUUGCUCCAUACCAACUUUGUAACCAUAAGUCAUAUUUUACACACAAAAUAACUGCUCCUUCACUCAUAUAUAUAUAUAUAUAUAUUUUAAGUCUCGAUCUGAGGGUGGACACAUUUACAGUGCCAGCCUUUCAUGCCUAAGCUCAUGAUGCUGACAGUCAGGUAAUGAAUACAUUUUUUUCUUUAUCAUUUAUUCUGUUAAACACCAAUUCUUUGUAGUUGCAGACAGUUGCCCUAACAGUAUUAAGAAACAGCUAGUUGUAAUUUGUCCUAGUCCCUUAAUCAUCACCCAUUGUAAUGCUUAUUCUGGUUUCUGAUUGUACUUUACAUUUCAGGUCACUGAUGGUACCAGGUAUGUGACUGUGGGCUUGCUGACAGAGAACAAAUGGAGAGGUUGUGGUCCUACCUUCGAAAAGUUGGGAAGAUCACAAAAGAGAUGAAACCUUCUCAUCGUGUUGACACCCUCACCGAUGCCCUCCUACUACGCAGCCAGGGUCAGGGAGAAGCAAGGUACAAAUGUAUAACUGGAAAUCAGUUAAGUAUUGAAACGACCCAUUGUUCAGGAUUGUGCCGACAUCAUUUAGCAACAAAAAAAACACUGAUGUAUUUUAAACAAUUUAGGAAAUGUAUGUUCACCAUCAUAUGUUAUAGUACCAACAAUACAACUCUGUCAGUAGAAGGUCCUGAACGAGGAAACCGAGGCAAAGGAGUAGUUGAGGGUGCUGCUAAACAGCAUUCCAGGUUAGAUUCCAUGUGUUUUGCACAUAAUAUGUAAGGAUCCUUUUCUACUAAUUCAAAUCAGAUGAAUUGGAAGCAGGGCUUCAGUAGCUGGAGGCUUUCUCCGACAGAGACCCUCACAGACAAGAGAAUGUUGUUCCUUACCUGGCAGGAGAGGUAUGUGGAAACUCUGGCAGAGGAACAUCGAGUCGCGCAAGUAGUUGCUACAUCUCUGACCUAAGGUUUUAUCCAAUCUCUAAACACCCAUUUCAGUCUGGUUUAGUCCUACCAGUCAUGACUGCCACGUUCCUAUACCCUACUGUGUGCUGUAUCCUGGUCCCACAAACUCUUGGAUCUGCAUAGCUACUCCCUGUUACUUUAUACUCUUAUCACCUCCUGCUCUCACCUGCCCCUUUCCACUACAUAUCCCAGAAACAGGAGUUCCCCCUUCCCCUGCUUAAUCUAUUCUACAUGAAGUCUUCUGACCUGUGUGCUAACACUUCAUGCUGCAUAAUCCACUCAAAAUGGAUUUGUCCUUCCUGUUUUUUUUCCAUGUUGAGAUGCUUUCAUGCUGUUAUAUUUUCAUACACACAUAUGAAUUUGCAAGUGAAAUCCAUGGGCAAUCAUUUUGACCUGGGGAAAAAUAUGUGCAUUUUCCAUUACAUUCAAGUAGUUAAAUAAUUUGGAUAUGUAAACAAUAUACUGAAUUCAAUGAUUUAUGUUGGAAUGUUGAGUGAUUUAAAAAAAUUUUUUUAUUGCUACCCCUUUGUAGUGUGUGUUUGCCCUUUAACUGCAGAAUCCCAGGUUCAAGCUCCACAACUAUUUCCCUUCAAUCGCUAGUGCAUUGGUGGCAGCAGUGGGAGAAUCCCCACGGUUGCUCUGGCCUGUGUUGGAAGUGAUCCUCUAUAUCUAGAGAGUCUAGAUCAGGGGUGUCAAACUCAUUCCACGGAGAGACGACUGUCUGCAAGUUUAGUUUUUCCUUUCAAUUAAGACCUAUACAAACAGGUGUUCCUUACUAAUUAGUGAUCUUAAUUCCUCAAUCAAUUACAAGAGGAGUAAUUUACAUACAACAUUGAGAGCAUCCUGACUGGUUGCAUCACUGCCUG